rnacentral:lncRNA from 1 species
AGAAGAACACUUUCUUCUCUUUCUUCCUAAAAUCCAUGCACAAAAUCUCUACGCUAGAGAUUUAAGAAAAUAUGUCCAACUCUUGGACAAAGGGGAGAGAAAAAUCCAUGUCCAACUCUUGGACAAAAAGAGAGAACACACUAACAACCAACUUUUGGUUGUUGUAAGAAAGAAAGGAUAGGGAGAUACCAACAAACCUCAUGCCCUUUUCUCUAUUUUUCUCACGUACAAGGCUCUCUUUUUGGCAUCCAAAAUCUGAUCAUAUCAGGUUCAAAGCUGCCGCCCCACUCUUAUCCCCUAUUUAAAUAGGGUAGUUAGGGUUUUAAGAUAAGAAUCCAUAUAUCCGUUGGACUCUUGAACCAUGCCGCCGCAUCCUUCCACUUUUGCGCCCAUGUAUCUCAUGGAAAAAAGGGGUUGGCGUGAGUUCUUACAUGCAGAAAAUAAAAGAAGGGGCGCGUGGAUAAGAGUUAGGCAUUAGGUUUGUUGAGCGCAAGGAGAGGAGAGUCCCAAUCAAAUUGGGAUCUCUUUAGGUGGCUGAUUUGAACUCUAACUAAUUUCCAAUUGAUUAAGAUUUAGUUGCAUCCAAUCAGAGGAGAAUUCCUAAACCAAAUAGGAACUCAAAAUCUCUUGAUUAAAUCAUAAUCUAAUUAGGAAUUAGAUAGCAC